rnacentral:lncRNA from 1 species
UCUGACACACCAUUAUUCCUUUUGCUCUUUUGCCCCCUCCCAGGCUGCGAACCACCUCAACAUCAGGGGGCUCCUAGACCUGACUUGCCAGACCAUCGCCGACAUGAUCACGGGAAAGACGCCAGAGGAGAUCCGCAAGAUCUUCAACAUCAAUGAGAAAUUAAGACCCGAGGAGGAGGAGAAGAUCCGCAGGGAAAACCAAUGGGCCUUUGAGUAGAGGAACAUCUAGGCCGCGCUGAAGUAAUGAACACUUAGUAUUACCCAUGUCUACAUUUCAGUGUGCUUGUUUAUGUCAUAAUGGUUGUAAUGAACCAAGAGUCUAUAAGGUGGUGUUGGUGAACUUAUUCAGUGGUUAUGUUUGCAAAAAUAAUAUGGUGGUCAUCAAUUAUCAUUUGUCAAAUGAAUCGUUAUUGUCAAGUUGAUGUUUUGCUUGCUUAUCAUUAUUUUUUCACUGAUUUCCACCAUGUGAUUUGGGCUUCUUCGUUGGUUAUUCAUGUCUGUUUUGUUCAUCGAUCAAGAUGCAUGGAUGCUCUUGUUACUUAAGAGACGGUCCUUGUUCUUCCGCUCUCUCUUUACAAUCCUAAUAAAAUAAAAAUAAAAGUUGUUGCUUAAAUUAUUUGAGGGAUCAAACUAAUUUUAGAAGACCUGAAAUUUUUAUGGUAACCACUUACGACCAUGGCAAGGCCACACUAAAACAUAUAGGGUUUUAGGAUUAUAUUUACAAUUUUUUUUACAAAAAAUCCAUUUAAAUGAAUAAAAGAGUGAUGUUAUUCUCUACUGACUGCAGAACCACGCCGCACCAGAAUCAGUUAACCCUCGUACACCUCUCCGUCUGUGACUCCACUGCCGAGUCUUCCCAUCACCGGCUCGUUGCCGUCCGGGGCCUCGCCGUUGUCCACCGCCUUGGUGCGCUCGGCACGGCGUGGUCAACGUGGUCAACAAACGAGAGUCGUCGGAAGAGGAUUAUACGUGGAGAGGCUGACAGUGGGGAUGCACCAGGUCCAUGGACGCACACUGCAACCGCCUCCUUGUGACGCGAAAAUAAAAAUUAUUCCUCCCCAUGAAAGCUGGGACCCACCAUGUAUAUCUUCGCAAGGAAGGAAGUGCCUCCUUAUGCCUGCUCCUGACAGCUGGGACCCACCAACAACAUCUUUGCUCCCAAGGAAGUGACUCCUUAUUAUGGGCAAAAAAUAUAUGAUUCCGCCUCUGACCACUGGGACCCACCAGCUAUAUAUUCACACACAAGGAAAUGCCUCCUUGCCCCCCGACAGCUGGAACCCACCUGGUCGAAGCAUACGUAGCGUUGUCUGUGUACAUACCGGUCGAUCGGUCUGUUUGCCACGAUGAACCAUGUCCGAGUAAGGAGCGGUAGCAGUUGAGGCAAUCCAGUCAAAACAGAGUACACGUACGGACAACCAGAUGCUAAAAAAUACAUCCACGUACGUACAUACGGGUGUGGUCUCGAACGCAUACUCGCGCAUACGUAAUGUGUCGUGUUCAUCGGGAGGCAACAUAAUGCGUCGUGUUUAUUGGGAGGCAAUGGAAUAUGUCGUGUUCAUUAGGAGCCAACCGGCUUAGAUGUAAUAGCCGAAACGAGGUCUGGCGUACCACAGAACGGAGGAAAUGGGCCUUCUGUUGGGCCACGUACGGUCGAAAUGGGUCCUGUUUAUCGGGAAGGGUCUGGCCUACCGCAAAACAGAGGAAAAAAACUUGUAUUCGAGUGCCUACGGUCGAAACGGGGUCCUGUUGAUAGGGAGGGGUGUGGCGUACCGUAAAACGGAGGAAACGGACUUGUGUUGGAGCGCUUACGGUCAAAACAAGGUCCUGUUCAUCCACCAUCUACUGCUGCGCCCCAGCCUCCACGAGCUACUAUUUAUCCACCAUCGACCUCCUCCAGCCUCCACCAGCUACUGUUCAUCCACCGGCUACUAUGCAUAGAGGCUCCAGAGGGUCCUGUUCAUCCACCCCCAACCGGCUAGGGUGCGAUGGCCUCCUUGGGGUCCUGUUCAUCCCGCGGCAACGGCCUACUACCACGGGGUCCUCUUCAUCAAACCCCCACCGGGAACUGUUCAUCCACAACCAACCAACCGGCUCGACUCACCAUGUCUUGACUCGUUCUACGUACCAUGUGCACGGUAGCAACGGUCACUGAUCAUCGAGAGUCAACCCAACACUGGCUGGCUACGUCUCGCACGGGGGCUCGAUCGGCUUCAAUAAGCAGCAGAUGCGAGCAAUCGCUCGGGUUCAGUUAGGAGCAAUAGCGAAGGAAUCGCUCGGGUUUAGUCAGCAGUGAAUGAAUCACUCGAGUUCAGUUAAUAGCCAAGGGAUCAAUCGCUCGGCUUCAGUAACGUAGCUAGCAGUGCGAUCGCUCGGUUUAGUUAGAGCCCAACGCCUCGCACACACGCAUGUACACAAGCGAAACGCACAAACCACAAUGCAUUGCCCAGCCCCGACCACCCACCGUAACCUGGAACUCCCCCAUAUUUUCCUCGCCCUCGCUUCUACCAUGAUUUUUCCCGUCAUGGACGGCCCAAAGAAUGUCAUGCAGCCGCGUCUCCGGCCUGCCCAGGACGAAAAACCCAUUUUCAUGGACCUAUCAUCUCAUUUUCGUCCUGUGAAAUCUCUGAUCCUAUUCUCUAUAUAUGCAGCAUGGUCUAUUAUGUAGCAAUAGCACGGUCUAUUAUGCUCUGUUACCGGCAGUAAUGUCAGUUGUUCUCUAGUAUUUGUCAUCGCAGUGCUCUCCUUCCUGUUGUUCCAUAUUUUGUAGCUGCAUCUUUGAUGUGUAUACGUUGUUGAUGUGUUGUCUUGGUAUAAGUAAAGCUGACUACUUCUGUCCUUUGUCGUCAAAUGAAGUCAUGAUAUGUUGUUAGCAACCUAGGACAGGAGGUAUUUGUUCAAGUUUGCAGUUCCAAGAUCCAUUGCUGAUGAAUAUGGAGUCAUUAAUAUUUAUUCUAUUUUUCCAAGAAAUGCUUCACUUGUAAGUUAUAACACCAGUCACAGACAACACACUUAACAAUUUUCGCGUGUCCCCUAUUACAUUUGACAGGGUCGAUUCGAAAUCCUAUGCCUCUGUGGAUCAUACCUGGUGAUAGAUGACGGCGUUUCACGCACAUGGAAUGGAGGUCUAUGCAUAGCGCUGUGUGGCGCUGAUCGCAGGGUGAUUGGAGGAAGCGUUGGUGGAGUCCUGACAGCAGCCGGGACAAUUCAGGUGAUCACUCGCUUCUUUUUUUUUCACUGAAACAUCAGCAUUUCAUUAAUUCAUCCUUGGUCUGUUGUGUUCCAGAAAUGAAUGAUGAGGUGAUUGUGCGUGUUGGUGCAGGUGAUUGUGGGGAGCUUCAUGUACGCGGGGUUGAAGAAGAGCAGGAAGGGCAAGGCUGGGAAGGAGUCUGCUGCGGCGGAGGAAGAACAGACCGGCGAUGCGAACGGGGGCAGGGGCAGGGGCGAAGAUGGAGUUGGAGGCGAGGCGGAGGAAGAGGGGCCUUCGCCGCUGAUGCCGAUGCCCCGCGGAGAGGAGGAGCUGCCGUCGGACGCGAUGAUGAGCGGGUGGACGGGCAUGAUGCGGCAGAUGGAGUCGCGGUCCUGCGGCAUGGACAUCAACUCGAUCCGAGAGUGAAGGAUGUAGACUGUUUAAUUAGUUUUGUUUUCCUCGCCCUCGCUUCUACCAUGAUUUUUCCCGUCAUGGACGGCCCAAAGAAUGUCAUGCAGCCGCGUCUCCGGCCUGCCCAGGACGAAAAACCCAUUUUCAUGGACCUAUCAUCUCAUUUUCGUCCUGUGAAAUCUCUGAUCCUAUUCUUUAUAUAUGCAACAUGGUCUAGCACGGUCUAUUAUGCUCUGUUACCGGCAGUAAUGUCAGUUGUUCUCUAGUAUUUGUCAUCGCAGUGCUCUCCUUCCUGUGGUUCCAUAUUUUGUAGCUGCAUCUUUGAUGUGUAUACGUUGUUGAUGUGUUGUCUUGGUAUAAGUAAAGCUGACUACUUCUGUUCUUUGUCGUCAAAUGAAGUCAUGAUAUGUUGUUAGCAACCUAGGACAGGAGGUAUUUGUUCAAGUUUGCAGUUCCAAGAUCCAUUGCUGAUGAAUAUGGAGUCAUUAAUAUGUAUUCUAUUUUCCAAGAAAUGCUUCACUUGUAAGUUAUGACACCAGUCACAGACAACACACUUAACAAUUUUCGCGUGUCCCCGAUUACAUUUGACAGGGUCGAUUCAAAAUCCUAUGCCUCUGUGGAUCAUACCUGGUGAUAGAUGACGGCGUUUCACGCACACAGAAUGGAGGUCUAUGCAUAGCGCUGUGUGGCGCUGAUCGCAGGGUGCACUGGUGGAAAAAGGGCCUUUGGUCGCGGUUCACAACUGCCAUUAGUCGCAGUUGCGCAACCGCGACCAAAUAGGCGCGACUAAAGGCCCCCCCUUUAGUCGCGGUUGCUUAAGAACCGCGACUAAAGGCCCGUCCACGUGGGCGCCAGUCGGCCGUCGGGGCGGAGGACCUUUAGUCGCGGUUCUUCUGGCCAACCGCGAGUAAAGGCCGCCGCAGGUUUAGGGUUUUAGCCCCCCCUAAACCUGUUUUCUGUUUAAUUUGUAUUGUUUUAUUUCUUUUGUGCUUUAUUUUAAUUUUGAAGGAGUUUCACAUAUUCUACGGUACUACAUACAUGCAUAUGAAUGUACAAUUUCAAACAAAUUUGAAAUUAGAACCAAAAAGAAUUCAAGAGGAAUAUACAAUAUAUAUUCAAUAUCAUCGGAUGACCAUAUACAAUUUUGAACAAGUUUCCAUACAUAAUUUAAUGCAUAUAAAGUUCUACGUCCUCGUAAUGGUGUUCUCCUUUAGGAUGGAGGACUUCCCUCCUGAACCAUCCAGCUAGUUCCUCUUGAAGUGGUCGGAAGCGAGCUUCUGGACUAAGCAUCAUCCGGAGGUUAUUCCUCUGAGCAUUGGUAUCACUCGGAACCCGCUCAGAGGUGUAUCUCCGGAUCAUCUCACAGACAUAGUAUGCACAUAGAUUGGUCCCCGCUGGCUGAAUAUCCUCACCAUUCUUAGCCUUUGACCUUUUGAAUUCUAGCUCUUUUUUGAAUUCACCGACCUUUGUAUCUACGAACCGUCUCCAAACCCUACGAGGCAAAGAAAAUUAAAUGAACAAGAGAGUUAUUAGUUACUUGAUAUUAGGAAAUGAACGAAAUAGGCCGAUCGAUAUAGAGCGCAAAUGAAUGAAAAUAAUUACUUCUGCAGCAUUCUUCUCAUGCCUCCCCAAAGCUUUGGAUCCUUAUUCAGAGAGUCGUGGACGAGACAUUCUGAGGUGUCAACUUUAAUUACUAGCAGAAUCCAGUGGAACCUGCGGACACGAUACAUGCACAGUACGUCAUGCAUAACUCAUCGAUUAGCCGGCCACAUACCAUGCAUGGAGUAAACAAAAGAGAAUGUGCUCAAGACAGAAACACUCACCCAAAAUGGUAAGGAAAUAGAAUAUCACUUUUGAGUUCCUGCUUUGUAAGAAACUGCCACAGGUCUGGCUCCAUGUCGGCGGGGUGAUGCUCCAACACAUAUCCAUUAACAAUGUGUGGGUCAAUGAACCCAACAUCAUGGAUGUUCCUUACUCUGCAUUCCUUAAUCUUCAUUCUGCAUGUAUAAUAGAGGACACAACAAUAUAGUUAGGACAUAUAUAUAGUGCAGGCAAUAUGAACGAGAUGGGGUAGAAAUAAAUCACUUACAGAACGUAGCAACUGAUGAUAGAUUUGUCGAGCUCGCGCAUAUUGAAAAGCUGGAACAAUUCACUCAGAUGAAUUUGUACAUAGUAAUGUUUGAAGUGAUUCUCAUAUCUAACUUCCGCAUAAAUAUAUUCUUUGGCGUUUUCAUUUUUUAUGUAACCCUUGUAGCAUUUCAGCAGACCUUUCAUUUGUGGAGGUAGAUCCUCUUCCUGCACAGGCUCGACGAGAGGCCCAUUCUUCACAUAUGUAAUUACUACCUCCUUCACUGGCGCCUCAUCAAGGCCUAACAGUUCACGAAGAGUAAUACCUAAGUUGGCCGCUUGUUCUCUGGCACUCGUUACAGUCAAUCCAUGUGCUGCCGCAGCUGCUAUGAUAUCGGGGUCAUCCGGACCAGCGGCUUUCACUAUAAGCGGGGCAAUCGAUUGUUUACUUUGUUCCCCGAGCUGGGCAACUCGUUUCCCGCUUUUUUUACUUUCUAAUUCCGUUUCCUCGGCCUCCUCCAAGGCUUUGUUCUCCUGGUUCUCCGCCCGCUCUUUCUUCUCCUUCAACAUGAGUGCCUGCCUACGAAGUUCACGUGCAUAGUCGUCAGGCAGAUUCUUCGCGGCUUGGGACGGUGUGCUCAAAAAUGACUUAGCCCACUUCUUUUGCUCAUCAGAAAAUACUGGCUUGGGCUCAGGCUCUCUUUUCUUCUUGCAGUCCGCCUUCCAUUUCUCAUGAUCAGCAGCCGCGGCCGCGGCAGUUUCCUCGGCACUACGUUCCCAAGGCCUUGUGGGGAGAGGCUUCAGUGAUGGCUCCGGUACCUUUGUGGUCUUAGGUACAUAAGGGUCCGGGUUAAUAAUCCAGGACUGCUUCUGCUUCUUUGCCGGAGGUGGAUUGGGGGGCGGCGUCUGAUCACCCGCCGGACGAGGACUGGGGGGCGGCGUCUGAUCACCCGCCGGACGUUGUGGACUAGGGGGCGUCGGCUGACGUGAUGGAGGUGUAGGUGAACCGCCACCACCGUAGGGGGGGUGGACUUGUUGUCCUUGGCGCCUCGCCUGGAAACUUGAUAAACUUCUUUUGCCAUAGAAUGAAAUGGCGCUUGACAUCUCCAAGUCUUUUCUCCCCUUCAGGUGUAGCAAUGUCAAUCUCCAGGUCCUCAAACCCUUGGACUAUGUCCUCCACCGUGACACGAGCAUAGCCAUCUUGAAUGGGGUUGUUGUGGUGGAGUGCUCCAGGUAAACAUGGUAAAGCACUGCCGAUGGCUACCUUCAUGGACAUGUUCCCGAUAGGAUAAUACAGAUGACAUUCUUUCAUCUCCUUUAUAUCGUCCACGGGGUAGCGAGGAGGCUCCGGUGCAGUAAUUUCGACCACCAGAGGCUCCGGUGCAGUAAUUUCGACCACCAGAGGCUCCGGUGCAGUAAUUUCGAUCGUUGGUGCAUCUGCACCAGCCGGUGGGGCCUCCGUGGAAGCCACACUGCUUCUUCGCUGCUGGCUUCUGAGAUCCGCUGGAUGAUCUUCAUGCUGCGCCCGAGCUGCAUCUCUUUCGGCUACUAGUACACUCACGGUUUUCUUCAUCACAUCCAUUUCCGAUGCCAACCGCACCACAACAUCUGCUUCCCGAUCCAUCUUUCUCUUCCGGCUUCUGUAACCGUACGGGUCAUCAUUCUGGGGGAACCCUAUUUUCCACGGAAUGUGCCCCAUGCCUCGUACACGUCCUCCGUGUUCAGGAUUCCCGAGGGCUUUUGUCAGCGCAUCGUUCUCUCUGUUGAACUUGAUCUUCCCCUCUUGAGCAUCCCUCAUUGCGUCAAUAAGGGCUUGGGUGGGUUUAAUUAUUUUGCCCGGUAAACACACUCCCCUGUCUCCGGGUUCAGCGUUCCCCCAUGCCCGUACCACCAGCUUUUGGCCCUUGGGUCCCAUCCCUCCGUACCUGGACGGAUUCCUCGCGCCCUCAGCUCGUUCUCCAUCUUCUCCCACCUAGGCUCCCAAAGGCGAUACCCUCCUGGCCCCAUAAUAUGAUUGUACUCCUUCUUAGCCGCAUUUUCCUUAUUUUUUUUCGAUAUUUGAAUGAACUGCUCCAAUUUCUUUUGCUUCACAAAUUCUGGCCAAUCAUGUUUCAGUUUCUCAUAUUGUCCUUUGAAAUCCGGAGUCUUGUUCUGCUUGACAAAGUCAUGGGCUAGAUUUUGCUUGAAUUUCCGGAAUGCGUCGGCCAUCUUAUGAAGAGCGAACUGUUUGACUAGCCUCCUCCUCUCCUUGUUUUCCUCAAUCUUGUUACCCUCCUCAUCGAAUUUGUUGUAUUCCGGAGGUAGAACGAAAUGUUCCAUAAGCUUCUUGAAGCAAUCUUUUUUUGUUCUCUUAUCGACAAAAGUGAAACCAGCAAUUCGUGCCUUCUUUGGCUUAUUCCACUCCUGGACGGUGAUCGAGACGUUGUCUCUAACAACGGCUCCGCAUUGGUUGACAAACUUGGUGGCGUUCUUGCGGGGCUCCAGCGGCCUGCCGGUUGCACUGUCGACAACCUCGAUGGUGCAUGUUUCUCCUUGUUUCAUCGUCUUGGUUGCGCCACGCUUUGACAACGUACUCGAUUGUUUCGACGAUCCGGCCGAGGGCUAAAAUAAGAAAGAGAGUCGCGCGCGUUAGUACACACAUAUUUAUUCAAAUCAGUUAGUUUGUAUCACCAGAGGCUCAAUGUAUAUAUAUACUUCAGCGCCGGAGGUGGUUGCUACUUCCAUUUGAAGAUCGUCGUUUAUCGACGUUUGUUCGGCAUCAUCUUGCUGACGGCGCCCUUCAUCUUCACCGUCAAGGUUCAGAUAAGAAGAGAUAUCAUCUUCUUCUUGUCCGGUCGGCACAUAUAGAAUAUCGCCGUUUAUGAUGCCAAACAUAUGUGCUUCACCGUCCGGAUCAUAGUUGUCCAUAAUCGGGUCAGCUCUAUCGUCCGCCAUUAUGUCAGUCCUGAAAACAUGUAGUAAAAACAAAUUAAUUAAGUGAAGAAGGGGGGUGGUGGCGGUGGCGGUGGCGAAAGGGCGGUGGCAAAAGGAGGGGGCGAGGAAGGGGUGGGAGAGGGUGUCGCGGUAGAGCGCGAGACGGGGCGGCAGACGACGGCGUCACGGAGAGGGAGGCGAGGACAACACACAUGUAUAACCCUCGCCGCCCCCUCUCGAUCCCAAAAAAAAACACCGCGCGCAUCGCCGCCCCCCUCGCCUCCCCCUCUCCGUAUAUGCGCGGGGUCGUGUACAUUUUUUUAAAGCGGGAUCGUUGUACAUUGACGCGCGGGGUCGUUGUAUAUAUUGAUUAUCAAGUUUUACUUUUUUUGUUGUUAAUUAUCAAGUUUUAUAUACGUUUUUUUGUUAAUUAUCAAAUUUUACGGUUUUUUUGUUAAUUAUCAAGUUUUAAGUUAUUUUACCGUUUUUGUUAAACUAAUUAACUAGUUAAAAUUAAAAAGAACAAAAAAAAAGAAAAAAAAGAAAAAAUUCCGGUGGCCUGCGGCGCCCCUCUCUCUCUCCACGAUCUCGCUCUCUGUCUGAGACCGGUGGCCCGUGCGCGCGCGGCAGUACGGAGGCCGGCCGACNNNNNNNNNNNNNNNNNNNNNNNNNNNNNNNNNNNNNNNNNNNNNNNNNNNNNNNNNNNNNNNNNNNNNNNNNNNNNNNNNNNNNNNNNNNNNNNNNNNNNNNNNNNNNNNNNNNNNNNNNNNNNNNNNNNNNNNNNNNNNNNNNNNNNNNNNNNNNNNNNNNNNNNNNNNNNNNNNNNNNNNNNNNNNNNNNNNNNNNNNNNNNNNNNNNNNNNNNNNNNNNNNNNNNNNNNNNNNNNNNNNNNNNNNNNNNNNNNNNNNNNNNNNNNNNNNNNNNNNNNNNNNNNNNNNNNNNNNNNNNNNNNNNNNNNNNNNNNNNNNNNNNNNNNNNNNNNNNNNNNNNNNNNNNNNNNNNNNNNNNNNAGGGCGACGGCGGGCGGCGUCGAGGGCGACGGCGGGCGGCGUCGAGGGCGAGGGCGACGGCGGCAGGCCUUCGGCGCGGUGUUGAAUCGGAGAAGACGAGAAAGGGUUCGGGCCCUUGUAUUUAUAUCCCCCCCUUUAGUCGCGGUUGGGGAGGCGACCCGCGACUAAAGGGUAACCUUUAGUCGUGGUUGGGGAGGCCAUAUCAAAUACCUCAGCACCAGUGCGUUCUGCAGGCUUCGGCCGGUGAUCUGCCUUGCCGUUGUAAUGCUUGCCUUUCUUUCUUACUGGAUGAAUUUUCGGAAGAAAUCGACGAUGCCCAAGGUACACGUUCUUCUUACAAUUUGGCAAAUGUACACUUUCAGUCUCAUGUAAGCAGCGCGUGCAUGCAUUGUAUCCCUUAUUUGACAGUCCCGAAAGGUUACUAAGAGCAGGCCAAUCGUUGAUGGUUACGAAAGGCAACGCUCGUAGGUUAAAUUCCUCUUUUUUGUGCUCAUCCCACACACGGACACCAGGUCUGCCCCACAGCUGUAAAAGUUCAUCAACUAAUGGCCUUAGGUACACAUCGAUGUCGUUGCCGGGUUGCUUCGGACCUUGGAUGAGCACUGGCAUCAUAAUGAACUUCCGCUUCAUGCACAACCAAGGAGGAAGGUUGUAGAUGCAUAGAGUCAUGGGCCAGGUGCUAUGGCUGGAGCUCUGGUCGCCAAAAGGAUUCAUGCCAUCUGUACUUAGACCAAAUCUUAUGUUCCUUGCGUCAGCUGCAAAAUCUUUGAACUCUCUGUCGAUCUUUCUCCAUUGCGUUCCAUCUGCGGUGUGUCUCAACUCCCCGUCCGACUUACGGUCCUCUUUGUGCCAUCGCAACAACUUGGCAUGCUCUUUGUUCCUGAACAGACGUUUCGACCGUGGUAUUAUAGGAGCAUACCACAUCACCUUGGCGGGAACCCUCUUCCUGGGUUUCUCGCCCUCAACAUCGUCACCAGGGUCAUCGCCUCUGAUCUUAUAACGCAAUGCAGUGCAUACCGGGCAUUCAUUCAAAUUCUCGUAUUCACCGCGGUAGAGGAUGCAGUCGUUGAUGCAUGCAUGUAUCUUCAGAACCUCUAAACCUAGAGGGCAGACAACCUUCUUUGCUUCGUACGUACUGGCGGGCAACUCGUUAUUCUUUGGAAACAUAUUCUUCAACAUUUUCAGCAAGUUUUCAAAUGCCGAGUCAGCUACACCUGCCCGUGCCUUCCAUUUCAGCAAAUCCAGUGUGCAGCCCAGCUUUUUCAGACCAUCAUCGCAUCCGGGGUACAACGACUUUCUGUGAUCCUCUAACAUGCGAUCCAAAUUCUCCCUCUCCUUUUCAGUUUCGCAGCGUCUUCGUGCAUCAGCAAUGGUCCGACCAAGAUCAUCAACGGUCUCAUCACGUGCCUCUUCUUCACCUUCACCUUCCCCUUCACCUUCCCCUUCACCUUCAGCAUCCUCCAUGAAAGUAUCACCGAAAUGAGCAAGAUAGCUUUCAUCGAUGAAAUCAUCCCCUUCUUCAUCUUCUUCCAUUAUAACCCCUCUUUCUCCAUGCUUGGUCCAACAAUUAUAGCUUGGCAUGAAACCGUGCCGAAGCAGGUGCAGGUGAACUUCUCUUGAGGAAGAGUAACCCUUCUGAUUCUUACAGUCAACACAUGGACAGAUAACAAAACCCUUCUGCUUGUUCGCAUUAGCCACUACGAGGAAAUCUUUCAAACCCGUAGUGAACUCGCGGGAGAGUCGGUUACCGUACAUCCAUUGCCGAUUCAUCUGCAUUAUUAUAAUAUACAAUAUAUAAUUAACUAUCAUGCAUUUGUUAAACUAACUAGCUAUAAACAAUAGAAAUUAAACAAUGAACAACACACAUGCAUAUUUUAUCAAUGACACACAUGCAUGAAAGGUUCGAGUUGCUAACCGCGAUCGAGGAGGAAAAAAUAAAUGAGGAACCUCAAGUGUGGCUCCAACACUUCAUAUCAUGUUUGUUUCACCCUCUUGGGGCAUUUCAUCAAACACCUUGUGUGCAUAAGAGGAACCAAAAGCAAACCUACACCCCCUUGUGAAGCUUGUGAAGAGAAGUGGCACCAAAUGGCUAAGUGAGCGUGCUGAACUGGUAUAUAUAGGGGAGGAGCUUUAGUCGCGGUUGGCCUGGCCAACCGCGACUAAAGGCCUUUGGGCACCUUUAGUCGCGGUUGGCCUGGCCAACCGCGACUAAAGCCCCUCACGUGCACCAGCUGGCCACCGAGCGCCCUGGGCCCAGGCCUUUGGUCGCGGUUCGUCUGCCGAACCGCGACUAAAGACUUCAUUAGUCGCGGUUCCUACAGUUUUGCGACUAAUGGGGCUGGACGGAAGCCUCUUUUUCUACCAGUGGCGAUUGGAGGAAGCAUUGGUGGAGUCCUGACAGCAGCCGGGACAGUUCAGGUGAUCACUCGCUUCUUUUUUUUUCACUGAAACAUCAUCAUUUAAUUAAUUAAUCCUUGGUCUAUUGUGUUCCAGAAAUGAAUGAUGAGGUGAUUGUGCGUGUUGGUGCAGGUGAUUGUGGGGAGCUUCAUGUACGCGGGGUCGAAGAAGAGCAGGAAGGGCAAGGCCGGGCAGGAGUCUGCCGCGGCGGAGGAAGAACAGACCGGCGAUGCGAACGGGGGCUGGGGCAGGGGCGAAGAUGGAGUUGGAGGCGAGGCAUAGGAAGAGGGGCCUUCGCCGCUGAUGCCGAUGCCCCACGGAGAGGAGGAGCUGCCGUCAGACGCGAUGAUGAGCGGGUGGACGGGCAUGAUGCGGCAGAUGGAGUCGCGGUCCUGUGGCAUCGACAUCAACUCUAUCCGAGAGUGAAGGAUGUAGACUGUUUAAUUAGUUUGGUACGGCGGAAGUUGAGCCUAGUCUAGCUUAGCUAGUGGAUGAUGGAUGAUUCUAGGGUUUGGUUGGGUUGGUUGUGUUCCUCUCCUGCGUGGGUGUAAAAAGAAGUCUAGUUAGUAUAAUGAAUGUCAUCGUUGAGUAUGAUCAGUUUAACCGAUGAUGUUGGCGCCGGUCGGUCGGGCGGAUCUAUGAUGGAAAUAGUGGAUUCGGUUGUUGGUUGAUGGUCUGGUCUGGUAUGGUAUGGUAUGGUAUGAUGUAGUUAUAGGCAGCAGCAAUGAGCAACUUGUUUGUAGCUAGUCUCUUUCUUGGUUGCAGACAGACAGACAGACAAACUUUGACAGUUUUGUUUUCCUUUCUCUUCUUGUGUUUGCAUCCCUGUUGCUUCUUUCUUUUCCUUCUUACUAGCAAACAUGCUUGUGCGUUGCAACGGGAAAAUGCAGGGCGUGAAAUUAGGUUCAGACACAUAAAUAUUCUAGUGGUGCGAUAUCAAUCAUGUCCAACAUGUACCUUCAUGAUCCUAGCUAGCUACUCCAUCCGUUCCGAUUUACUCGUCGUGGUUUUAGUUCAAAUUUGAACUAAAACCAUGACGAGAAAGUAAAUCGGAACGGAGGCAGUAGAUAGCAUUGGCACCUUUUUUUUACCGUUAAAUAAUUUUUUCUUUAUCCGCAAAAAAAAUAUUAUUUUUCUUUCUCCACCCAUUAUCUCAACCUCAAUUCAAACCCGCCAUCGAAUAAAUGGAAGCAAUAGUCUUCGGUCACCUUACCUGGCACCUGGUGUCUUUGCCUAUUAGUUCUAAAUAUGCAAGAAGUUUUUCCAUACUGCAAGAAUUUGUCAUCAAGCUUGAUGCAUAAAGAAUUUGUCACCUAGAGUUAACAAAAUCUUUUGGUCUCUGAUGCCAUGAACCAGAGGAGAGAGCCUUGUGCAUGCUGGUGUCGGAAGCAAUGAGCGUCUUGCAGAACAUGCGGGGUGCUUUCACGUCAUCGCUGUCCUCUUUGUUGGGGCGGGGUGCUUCAAUAGUGUCAGUCCCAAAUUUCCUCGUUGUUCCCUUCUAGUCCUACACUCCUACUUCAAGCAUCCACCUUAUUUUAACCAUUAGCAGCACAUACUCCCUUUGUUCCGAUUUACUCGUCGUGGUUUUAGUUCAAAUUUGAACUAAAACGACGAUGAGUAAAUCGGAACGGAGGAAGUACUUUUGAUGAUUCAAGUGACAUUAACCGCAUCUGCCUUCCUGUAACCAUUACCAGCGCAUAUCUUUGAUGACUCAACUGACAUUAACCAUGUCAAAUUCAGAUAGUGCGCCAAUCCCUCCCUCCCCGCCCCAACCACCAGCGACCCUUUUGUGUUUGGGCAAAUCACUGCCUCUUCUCUCCUAUCGGGUGUGGGAUUGUUUUCACAAGAGUAAUGCACUGAAGAUAAAUACCAUCAGGUAGGUAGUAUCCUUUGUUAUAGUGGUGACCAUUGAUCUUAAUAUUGAACUCUGGGCAGUUGCCUUCUACAAGCCUUUCAAACACCAGAGAACGCUAAAGCACGUUGAUGUCAUUGUGAGAGCCGGCCGUGCCAAAAAAAGAGUACCAAAUUCAAAGAUCUUGUGAAGCACGGCCUCAAGUAUGACAUUGCAAACUUUCACAUGACCUCUAGACUGCCCCUGCCAAGCAGAUGUGCAGUUCUUCCACUUGCAGUGCUUACAAUCUGUGUGCGACCAAGCAUCCUCGGAAAGCCCCUAUCUGCAUUGAUCGCCAACAACCUGGUGCAACAGUUGGCUCUCUCAAGUACUCCCGGCCAAGCAUCACUAGCACAAUCUUGCAGAACCUGUACAUGAAUUCUAGGCACGUGGCCUCACUCAUGCAGACAUACCCAUCAAUUAGAUCACAUGGUAUUUUGUAUGCAAGCACCGAAUAGCUGCAGUGCAUUUCUGCUAAGAGGAGAAGCCAACCUCUCCCAGAGGCGUCCUCCUUGCAUAUGAAAUAAUCAUCGUAUGCCACAACCCUUCGUGAAUACGAGAACACAUGUCUAGCCAUCUGGAAGCGGCGCCGAAAUAGCUUGUGUUUGAAGAGUGGGGAAGAGGACUUGAAGUAGUCUUCGGCUCUCUCUAUUGCGAUUCAACGCCGGAGCAUGGUCGAGAUUGAGCCCCUAAAUGUGGUGAUCGGCGUUGCUCAAUCGGCCCAAAAUAAAUUCCCCAAAAGCCCAAUCAACCCUGCAACAAAACACCCCAUCUUUCUCCUUUCUUCCGCCGCCGCUAGAGUUUCCUCUUCUAGUUAGGGUUUCCUCGAUCCCCAAUUUCCCCACCCCAACCCUAGCUCCGAUCCACCCGAUGGCGGCCGCAGAGGGCAAGAAGAAGAUCAUCAAGCUCAAGAGUUCAGACGGUAAGGAGUUUGAGGUGGAGCAGGCGGUGGCCAUGGAGUCGCAAAUGAUCCGGCACAUGAUCGAGGACGACUAUACUGACAAAGGCUUGUUGCUCUGCAAUGUCAACUCAAAGAUCCUCUCCAAGGUCAUUGAGUACUGCAACAAACACGUCCAAGCAAAGGCCGUCGACACAUCUGAUUUUGGUGGAGGAGCUAGGCCGUUAGAUGCUACAUCGGCUGUGCCUGCGGCGCCCGCAGAGGACCUCAAAAACUGGGACGCCAAUUUCGUCAAGGUCGACACGGCCACCAUAUUCGACCUCGCACUGGUGUGAUUACUUUCCAUCCUUUGAUUUGUUCCUUGACAUUCUCUAGAUCUAUCUUUUUACUAUCCCCCAUUGAUGGAAUCAAGAUUGUUUUUGUUUAGUGUGGCUUGUUACUUGUGUCUGAUUGAGAUUUGCAUAGAUUGGAAUAUGUCCUCGUACCUUCAUCAAGGUAGAUUUGACUCGAUUGUAUUAGGUUAGGUUACACAAUGGAUUAGGUUUAGGUCACAAAGAGUUGUUAUUGGCGAUGUAGAAAGCGGCCGACCAUACAUACUAACCCUAAUAGCUAGGUUCGGGCAUUAUCUCGGGAGCUAUAUUAGUUUACAGUUCCAUGUUCAUCUGGUCUAAUAUGCUUCACUAUAUAUGAAUAACCUAGAAACAUUUUAAAUUAUUAGAUUCACUAUCAUUUUGUUUGUAAAUUACAUAUACGGGAUGAUGAUUGAGUGGUUUCUCUUUCAAUAACUUGCGGAAACAUCAGACCACACAGAGCAAUAUAUGGUCUGUUGUUUCUAUAUUUGUCACUGUUGUUUCUAGAUUUGAACCAUGCAUGAAUGUCCAUAUCUAGUGUGAAAUUAUGAUCUUGUAUGCUAGACUUUAGUAGAUCUGCUCUGAAUUUGUUUAGUUAUGUUGGUUUAUCAUAGAUAGGGUGGCAUGUCGCAUGUGUCAUCCUUAGUUAUAAUACAUAAAUCCAAUAUCAUACAUUACUACUUUGAUAUUUGUAAUUAUGCAUUGUAGAUCACACACUUCUUUCUAAUUUUGCUAUCUAUAUCUUUAUUAUCUUAUAGGUUUCACUACUGGUCCAUAUGUCAACAAUGAAUGCCUUUUUCUUCUAUCUAGCAUCGAGUUACUAUUUAUUUUGCUGUAUACAUAGUGAUAGCUAAAUCACAUGAUCAUGCUAAUGUUUCUAACUUUGUAUCAAAUAUUUAUGAUCUCAACUAAUCUUUUAGAUACCACUAUUGAUCCAUGUCAUCUACGAAUGCCUUCUUCUAUCUAGUAUUGGUUGAGUAUUAAUUGUGGUUCUAUUAACAUUACAUCCUUGUAGCUAGAUCACGAGAUGAUACAUUGUGCCUGUCCAUGUUAGAAGUGAUGAUGCUUUCCAUCGUUUGAAGGGAAACCACACAUGACUUCCCAUGGCCACUAUAAAAUCUUGAUCUAGUUUGCAAGAGUUUAGCACUAUUUACUUUUAGUUUCUUUUCUUAUAGUUAUCUUAUUUUAUCAUAGAUAAGAUUUGUAUCUCACAUGUGGCAUCUUCACUUGCAAUACAUAUUCCAGUUUCAUAUAUUACUGACCCCUAAACACAUGUUUUGUGUUGUGGUUUGAUUUUACUAUGAUAGAUAACUAUGUUUCUAACUUUAUUGUUAUCGCUGCCUUUAUCAUCUGAGCAAAUCUUUUAAAUGCCACUAUAUUGAUCCAUAUUGGCUAUGAAUGUGUUCAUCUGUGUAUCAUUGCUUGAUUGAUGAUUGUGGUGUACUAGCCAUACAUGUUGAUAUCCAAAUUAUUGGAUGAUGAAUGCAAUUGCCAAUGCAUUUUGAGAAGUGGUGCUUGUCAUCUGAACCCAUGUAGCUUAUGCACUUACAAAAUUAUCAUUUAUCAUGUAGGAAUGUAUGUAGCUGUGUCUGAUCUCACUCUAUUUUGUGACAGUUAUGUUAACUUUUCUUGACUAUCGAUCCAUUUAUGUUAACCCAUGUUAUGGUCUUUGAAUGAAUAUCUUUUGAUUAUUGCACACCUUGUUUUGUGUUUUAGUUUGUCGCAAAAACCUCUAUGUAGGUGGUAUAUGUAAUUAUCCAUGUUUUUGUAAACCAAUGCUUCGCUCUGACGCACCAUUAUUCCUUUUGCUCUUUUGCCCCCUCUCAGGCUGCGAACCACCUCAACAUCAGGGGGCUCCUAGACUUGACUUGCCAGACCGUCGCCGACAUGAUCACGGGAAAGACGCCAGAGGAGAUCCGCAAGAUCUUCAACAUCAAUGAGAAAUUAAGACCCGAGGAGGAGGAGAAGAUCCGCAGGGAAAACCAGUGGGCCUUUGAGUAGAGGAACAUCUAGGCCGCACUGAAGUAAUGAACACUUAGUAUUACCCAUGUCUACAUUUCAGUGUGCUUGUUUAUGUCAUAAUGGUUGUAAUGAACCAAGAGUCUAUAAGGUGGUGUUGGUGAACUUAUUCAGUGGUUAUGUUUGCAAAAACAAUAUGGUGGUCAUUAAUUAUCAUUUGUCAAAUGAAUCGUUAUUGUCAAGUUGAUGUUUUGCUUGCUUAUCAUUAUUUUUUCACUGAUUUCCACCAUGUGAUUUGGGCUUCUUCGUUGGUUAUUCAUGUGUGUUUUGUUCAUCGAUCAAGAUGCAUGGAUGCUCUUGUUACUUAAGACACGGUCCUUGUUCUUCCCCUUUCUCUUUACAAUCCUAAUAAAAUAAAAAUAAAAGUUGUUGCUUAAAUUAUUUGAGGGAUCAAACUAAUUUCAGAAGACCUGAAAUUUUUAUGGUAACCACUUAUGACCAUGGCAAGGCCACACUAAAACAUAUAGGGUUUUAGGAUUAUAUUUACAAUUUUUUACAAAAAAUCCAUUUAAAUGAAUAAACGAGUGAUGUUAUUCUCUACUGACUGCAGAACCACGCCGCACCAGAAUCAGUUAACCCUCGUACACCUCUCCGUCUGUGACUCCACUGCCGUGUCUUCCCAUCACCGGCUCGUUGCCGUCCUGGGCCUCGCCGUCGUCCAUCGCCUUGGUGCGCUCGGCACGGCGUGGUCAACAAACGAGAUUCAUCGGAAGAGGAUUAUACAUGGAGAGGCUGACAGUGGGGACGCACCAGGUCCAUGGAUGCACACUGCAACCGCCUCCUUCUUACGCGAAAAUAAAAAUUAUUCCUCCCCAUGAAAGCUGGGAGCCACCACGUAUAUCUUCGCAAGGAAGGAAGUGCCUCCUUAUGCCUGCUCCUGACAGCUGGGACCCACCAACAACAUCUUUGCUCCCAAGGAAGUGACUCCUUAUUAUGGGCAAAAACCUCUGACCACUGGGACGCACAGGCUAUAUAUUCCACCUCCUUGCCCCCCGACAGCUGGAACCCACCUGGUCGAAGCAUACGUAGCAUUGUCUGUGUACAUAUCGGUCGAUCGGUCUGUUUGCCACGAUGAACCAUGUCCGAGUAAGGAGCGGUAGCAGUUGAGGCAGUCCAGUCAAAACUGCGUACACAUACGUACAGCCAGAUGCCGAAAAAUACAUCCACGUACAUACAUACGGGUGGGGUCUCGAACACGUACUCGCGCAUACGCACGGCGAGGGCUCGUGUACAUGGAGAGUGAAAGGAUCGAUAUGGUUGACUAGAGGGGGGGGGUGAAUAGGCAACUAACAAUUUUUAAGCUUUUCUUUAACAAAUUAAACCUUGCGACAAAAUAGGUUGUCUAGAUAUGCAACUAAGUGGACAACCUAUAUGAUGCAAAGACAACUAGCACACAAGCAAGCAAUAGAUACAAUACAAGUAAGCUUGCAAAAGUAAAGGCACGAAAUAACCAAGAGUGGAGCCGGUGGAGACGAGGAUGUGUUACCGAAGUUCCUUCCUUUUAAGGGGAAGUACAUCUCUGUUAGAGCGGUGUGGAGGCACAAUGCUCCCCAAGAAGCCACUAGGGCCACCGUAAUCUCCUCACGCCCUCACACAAUGCGAGAUGCCGUGAUUCCACUAUUGGUGCCCUUGAAGGCGGCGACCGAACCUUUACAAACAAGGUUGACGCAAUCUCCACAACACUUGGAGGCUCCCAACAACACCACGAAGCUUCACCACAAUGGAGUAUGGCUUCGAGGUGACCUCAACCAUCUAGGGUGCUCAAACACCCAAGAGUAACAAGAUCCGCUAGGGAUUAGUGGGGGGAAUCGAGUAUCUCUUGGUGGAAGUGUAGAUCGGGGCCUUGUCACCCAAUCCCGAGCAAAUCAACAAGUUUGAUUGGCUAGGGAGAGAGAUCGGCCAAAAAUGGAGCUUGGAGCAACAAUGGAGUUUAGGGUUAGAAGAGGUGAGUCUUCUUGGAGAAGAAGACCCCCUUUUAUAGUGGGGGACAAUUCCAACCGUUGCCCACCACUCAGCCCGCGGCCCACGGAACUACCGCUCCACAGGCGCGGUACUACCGCACUGGCGUGCGGUACUACCGCGGUGGACCGCGGUACUACCGCGAGCACGGCAGAGACCUGACCAGGCAAAAAGGAGCACCGACAGGGCGCGGUAGAUCCGUAGGAGCGGUACUACCGCGGCCCCAUGCGGUACUUCCGCAAGGCAGACACGGGCCAGGCCUGGUAGGCACAGAUGUAAAAAAUUACAUCCGUGACUACCUCCGCUAAGAAAAAUGUCGUGCAAAAAUCCAACACGAAAUUACCGCGAUCGAGGGUGCGGUACUACCGUGAAGGGUGCGGAUGUAAAAAAUUACAUCCGCCCCUACCUCCGCUCCUGCUCCGGAACCUGGCCUGGUGCCACGGUACUACUGCGCCACAGCACGGUACUACCGCGGGGAGCGCGGAUGUAAAAAAUUACAUCCGUGUCUACCACCGCUUGAGAGCGGUGCCAGACCAGAGCUCGCGGUACUACCGCUCGGAAGAGCGGUACUACCGUGGGAUCCUACGGUACUACCGUGCCGGAGCCCGGUACUACCGCUUGCUCCUGCGGUAGUACCGCUCACAAGAGCAGUACUACCGCUAGCCUGAGAAGAGCAAGACUGAGGCCUUCAUUUCGCAGAGACACGAUGAGCCGGAGGAACACUCCGAGGAGCUCGAGGAAAGGCGGUGCAAAAGGGAAUGUGUACGUGAGAUUCCACCCAAUCCUUUACAAAGCGGACCCCCUCUUAAUAGUACGGCUUUCCUAUGACUCAACUCCACUGAACCAAACUGUAGAGAAAGGCCGUCUUCUAUAAUCUCCGAGGGGCAUCAAAUCGUCUUGUGUUUAGUCGUGAUAUAUCUGAAAAGCUCAAUACACACGAUUAGUCCGCAAAGGCAUUGUCAUCAAUCACCAAAACUACAUAGGGACAAGAAUGCACUUACAAUCUCCCCCUUUUUGGUGGAUUGAUGACAAUACGGGAUUUGCACAAAUGAAAUGAAUAUAGCAUAGGCAAACCCCACAACUUCUAAAAUAUAGAUGAGCUCCCCCUAGAUUCGUGCUAGAGAGUAAAGUGCUUUGGACUGCACGGAACGAAUACUAGGAGCACCACUCCCCCUAUAUUUUAGAAACAAAGCAUAUCUUGCAAUAGUAAGGCUGACACUAGACAUGAUAUGAGCAUAACAUGAAUAGCAUGAUAAGCACAAGCUCAAUAAGGAGAUAACGAGAGAGUGCAUAUGUCUUACACCAUAUGAUAGACUUAGUCUCACGAGCACAACCAAACCAAAGCAAGCAGGUUCAACAACGGAAAGCAAAGCAAAUGACGAAACACACGACACACACACAAAUCCUACACUCUCUCCCCCUUUGGCAUCGAGACACCAAAAAGGCAGAGAGGUCACCUACAACGCAGGUGGUAGCUCAGGCGGAAAACGACUCAUCUCGCCAGACUCCGCAGCAGGAACAUACUCCUCCUCUGAAUCGCUCCAAUGGAAGCUCUGCUUCGCCAUCCAGGCAGUCUCUGGGGUGAUGUGCUUCUCAGAGCCGCUUGCCACGUCCUCCCCGCAAGCCCUCAAGAUCCUGAUGUCGCGACGGCGACUCUCCUUCUGAGCAACAUGGGCCUUGUACUGCCCCUGAACCUGCAAGAAGAACAACCUCUUCAUCUUGUCCUUCAGCUUCUUUGCCCAAGAAGGCUCAGCAGAGGGAGGCGUGAACGCAGAACGAUCCUCAGCAGCGUCUUCCUCCUUAAUCUCCUCCUCAUCAACAACCAUCUUGGCAGCCUCUGCAGCAGUGGUGGUAUUAGCCCAUUGGGGCUUGAUGCGAAGCUUGAUGGGCUCAUGCCGAAUCUAGCCUGGUGCUUCAAACUCCUCAUUGGGGAGGAGCUUCUCCCACGUCUUGGAGAUCAGGUAAAACAGAUAAGGCCCAUAGAUGGGGACCUUAUGGUUGAACACGGCGAACUGAAGCUCACACCACAUGAUAUGUGAGACAUCAAGUGGCUGAGUCUGAGCCUGACGGGCCUCCUCACAAAGAAGCAUCAUGUCAAUGAGAUAAGCAUGCACCUGUCCCAUGUCACCAAUGCGCGGGAAGAGCGUGUUCCGGAAGAGCCUAUGCAUGAUGUCAAGGAAGGGGUUGAGCACCCAUGCCUUCUUCUUGUUAGGAAGCGUCUUCUCAACAAGGUAUGUCAUGAGCUUGUUCUUGUUGGCAGAGUCAGCAUUGGCAUGAGGGCGAACUCCAACUGGCGUGUUGAGUCCUUCAUCGGGAACAAGGAGCAACUCCAUGAACUCCUUCUAGGUAGCAGACAACUGUCGACCAUUGGUCAUCCAAGUCAUGGUCCUCUCUUCAUUGACGUCGAAGUGGACCGAAGCAAAGAACUGUGCAACGAUCUUUGGAUCAAAGUCCUUGUGGAAGGUGAGAAUGUGUUCAAUGCCGAACUACUCCACAAGAUCCAAGGCCUCUCCAAAGUACCCACGGUGCUUCUCCUGCCUCAUGUGAGUCAUGUGAAUCUAGUGAACUUCAACAUUGUGAUUCUGCUUGGCCUUGAUCACAUCCAUAUAGAUCAGAUUCUGCUGCUUGUUCCAGAAGAGUUCAUUGCCCCGCGUGCUAGACUGGGGAGACACAUAAGGAUUGAUCUUUCUUCGAAUGACAAAUUCUGCCUGGGGCAUCUCAUCCAUGCCCAUGACGGGCUCCUUCCGUUUCCUGGCGGUAUGCUUGGUCCUGCGUUGGGGAGCAGCAGAGGACCCCUCUGGAACAUCAUCUGGGUUGCGCAGACGCUUGGACCCUGUGUCACGGCUGGGAUUCGAGCGGCGAGGAAAACCGGAGCCACCACCUAGACAUAAAGACACAAAGACACACACGGGAACAAAAUGAAUCAAAAACAAACGAAAGAAAACACAAACACAUGCGACUUGGACAAAAGACAAAACGGCACAGGAUGAUCUACGGUAGUACCGGGCGGGGUUCCGGAUGUAAAAAAUUACAUCCGCGCCAACCGCGGAAGUACCGUGCCGCGGAAGCACGGUAGUACUGUGCGUGGGGCGGAAGUAAUUUUUUACUUCCGGACGCCCAGCGGUAGUACCGCACCAAGGUGCGGAAGUACCGCGGAGUAUCAGAUCUAGAAGAGGCUGCGGUAGUACCGCUCCAGGAGGAGCGGUAGUACCGCACGAAAGGAAAAACUGCCAUUAAGGACGCGGAUCUGGAUCUAGAACCUCCGCACGACAACUUCGGUACUACCUUUGAUCAAACGGAACUAUUUUGACUAUCCAAAGAGCAUGCAACUACUCUACCACACUACAACGAAUCCCACUUGCACAGAUUUAGCCAAAAAUCUCAAGAACACCACAUGCAUCUCCCCAAAACCUAGAAACACAAGGAAGGACAAAAACGAGAGGUAUUUGGGGAAAAACCUGGGUCCAUGGCAAGAGGGCGAGGUGGGGAGCGAUCCCACCGGUCGGAAUCCGAGGAGAGCUGCCGGAGAAGGAGAUCCGGCGAAGGCCUCCGGUGCCGUUCUUGGUCAGGAGAGAGAGAGACGGGGUGGGGAAAAGAGAUGAAUGGGUAUGGGGGAGUUAGAACUCCCCCUGUCCUGCUCUUAACCCCCACCUGCUCGCGUGGGCGUGGAAGUACCUCGGGUCAUCACGGUAGUACCGCCCGGGCGGAAGUACCACAUGCUGGGCGGUAGUACCGCUUGUUCAGCGGCAGUAAAAAAUUUCUGCGGCGGAAGUAGCGGUAGUACCGUGCCCUUGGAGGGCCACGCACUUGGAGAGACCCACCAACUCCUGCGGUAGUACCGUGGCACACCACAGUAGUACCGUAAACCAAGAAAGAGCUAGGACGCAAGAGAGAAGAAGGAGGAAAAAGCAAAACACCCACCGGGGAAACACCAACCAACACGAGAGAGAAAACAACUUCUCCAAGGAAGGGCGGUGGCCGGAGCCACCUAUAUUUGAGUCAAUUGGUAUGGCACCGCAAAGAAUUAUCCUUGGGUCCAUGACCAAAACUCGUCUUUGAAGCACAAGUACCAUAAAAAAUGGCUAAUGUGAAAGAGUUGAUUAGUAUAUGCAUAAUGGGGGAGGAAGAGUUCAUUGAUAGAACAACAGUCCCCCUAUGUCCAUGCCUACAUCUAGACUAGACAACAAGUAGAGUGAGGAGGGGUGUGCACGGGCUCAAGUCACAUUGCUCGAAUCAAUGAUAUUUAGCUCAUGCCUUAACUCGGAAAAUCUUGCUUCAUCCAAGGGCUUCGUGAAAAUAUCUGCAAGGUUAUCAUGAGUGUUGACAUACUUGAGCUCGAUCUCCCCUCGCCUAAUGUGAUCCCGGAUGAAGUGAUACCGAAUCUCAAUAUGCUUCGUCUUGAAAUGUUGCACCGGGUUGAGAGAAAUCUUGAUGGCACUUUCAUUGUCACACCAAAGAGGCACUUUGUCACAAAUGACACAGUAUUCCUUUAAAGUUUGCCUCAUCCAUAAGAGUUGUGCACAACAACUACCAGCCGCCACAUAUUCUGCUUCGGUGGACGAGAGAGACACACAACUUUGCUUCUUGGAAGACCAACUCACCAAAGAGCAACCAAGAAAUUGGCACCCUCCGAAAGUGGACUUCCUAUCCACUUUGUCUCCCGCCCAAUCGGAAUCCGUAAAUCCUUCAAGCUUGAAGUUUUCUCCUCUUGGGUACCAUAGGCCAAAGUUUGGGGUAUGAGCCAAAUAUCGAAAGAUUCGCUUGACUGCCACAAAAUGGCUUUCCUUCGGUGCGGCUUGAAACCGUGCACACAUACCCACACUCAACAUGAUAUCCGGUCUAGACGCACAAAGGUAAAGCAAGGAUCCAAUCAUAGAGGGAUAUACCUUUUGGUCCACCGCUUUACCAUUGGGAUCAAUGUCAAGUUGGCACUUGGUAGGCAUUAGAGUGGAAGCCGGCUUGACAUCACUUAGCUUGAAUCUCUUAAGCAUGUCUUGAGUGUAUUUGGCUUGGUUGAUGAAGGUACCUUCUCUUCUUUGUUUGAUAUCAAAACCGAGGAAGAACUUCAACUCUCCCAUUGAAGACAUCUUGAACUUAGAGGUCAUGAGAGCGGCAAAUUCUUCAUUGAAAGCUUUGUUAGGGGAACCAAAGAUAAUGUCAUCAACAUAUAGUUGGCACACAAACAACUCCCCUUUGACCUUCUUAGUAAAAAGAGUGGGAUCGAUUUGCCCAACUUCAAAUCCACGAUCUUGUAACAACUCGGUAAGGUGGUCAUACCACGCACGUGGGGCUUGUUUAAGGCCAUAGAGUGCCUUAUCAAGUUGAUACACAUGAUCCGGGAAGUAAGGAUCCUCAAACUCGGGGGGUUGCUUCACAUACACCAACUCAUUAAUAGGACCAUUAAGAAAAGCACUUUUCACAUCCAUUUGUUGUAACUUAAAGUUAUGAUGGGACGCAUAAGCAAUCAACAAACGGAUGGAUUCAAGGCGAGCAACGGGAGCAAAGGUUUCACCGUAGUCGAUACCCUCGACUUGGGAGUAGCCUUGUGCUACCAAUCUUGCCUUGUUGCGAAUGAUGUUCCCAUGAGCAUCUUGCUUGUUCUUGAAAAUCCACUUGGUUCCAAUGACGUUGUGGUUCCCCGAUGGCCUUGGCACCAAUCUCCAAACCUUGUUGUACUCGAAGUUGUUGAGUUCUUCAUGCAUGGCAUUGAGCCAAUCCGAGUCUUCGAGCGCCUCAUAGACCUUUUGGGGUUCAACACAAGAGACAAACGCGUGAUGUUCACAAUAGUUUGCUAAUUGUCUACGAGUGCUUACCCCCUUUCUUAGGCUUCCAACCACAUUUUCCAUGAGGUGGCCUUUGGUGGUGAGUUUGGAAGCAAUCUUCACGGCACGACGCUCUAAUUCUUCCUCGGAUGUGGAAGGAGGAGGGUUAACUUGAUUAUCUUGAGCGACGUCUUGAGCUUGUUCUUGAUCUUGAGUUUGCUCAUGAUCUUGAAUCUGCUUGAGGGGGAGAACUUGACCUUGGGCAUCAUUUGGAGGUUCACAACUAUCUUGAGAUUGAUCUUGCCCUUGGUCUUGUUCACGAGGUUGAGGGCCUUCAGUUUGUUCUUCGGAAGAGUGUGAGUCUUGAGUAGGUGAAGGCUCCACUUGAGUGGAGCAUUGUCCUUCUCCUUCGGCCACAAGGGGUUCCUCAAUGGGUAGAAUAUGACCAAUACCCAUUCUUCUUAUGGCUUGGGGAGGAAUUUCAUCACCUACAUCACAAGUACCACUUUGCUCCACUUGGGAGCCAUUAUUUUCGUCAAACUCCACGUUACACAUCUCCUCAAUGAGUCUGGUGGACUUGUUGAGAACACGGUAAGCACGAGAGUUUGUAGGAUAACCAACAAAUAUGCCCUCAUAAGCUCUAGCCUCAAAUUUAGACAAACGAACACCUUUCUUGAGAAUGAAACACUUACACCCGAAUACUCGGAAGUACUUGAUAUUGGGCUUGUUUACGGUGAGUAUCUCAAAAGGAGUCUUGUUCAAGCCUUUGCGGAGAUAGAGCCGAUUGGAUGCAUGACAAGCGGUGUUGAUGGCUUCGGCCAAAAGUUGUAUGGAGACUUGAACUCCGCCAUCAUGGUCCUUGCCGCAUCCAUCAACGUCCGGUUCUUCCUCUCCACAACACCAUUUUGUUGAGGGGUAUAUGGUGCAGAAUGUUGAUGCUUGAUCCCCUCAUCACUAAGAAACUCAUCCAAGGUGUAGUUCUUGAACUCGGUGCCGUUGUCACUUCUUAUUGUCAAGAUCUUUGCAUUAUGUUGACGUUGAGCUUCAUUUGCAAAGUUGAUGACGGUUUGUUGAGUCUCACUCUUCCUCUUGAAGAAGUAUACCCAAGUGUAUCUUGAAUAAUCAUCCACAAUCACCAAGCAAUACUUUCUACCCCCAAGACUAUCAAAGGAUGGAGGCCCAAAGAGGUCCAUGUGAAGGAGCUCCAAGGGUCUCUUCGAGUAGAUGAUAGUCGUGGGAGGGUGAGCUGUCUCAUGAAGCUUUCCUUCAAUACAAGCACUGCAAGCACGAUCUUUGGGAAAACUAACAUUUGUUAGUCCACGGACAUGGUCCCCCUUAAGAAGACUUUGCAAAGAUCUCAUAUUGGCGUGGGCUAAACGGCGAUGCCAAAGCCAUCCCACAUCAACUUUAGCCAUUAGGCAUGUCGCGGUCUUAGUGGGUUGCUCCGAAAAGUUAAUCACAUAGAGACCAUUCUCGACAUGCCCAACAAAGGCUACUUUAAGAGUCUUGCUCCACAAGAGGGCCAUGGUAUCAAUAUCAAAGAAGGUGGCAAAGCCCAUGAGUGCAAGUUGAUGAACGGAAAGUAAAUUGAACGCAAGGGACUCAACAAGCAUGACUUUCUCGAUCGUUAGAUCAUGAGAAAUGGCAACCUUGCCAAGACCCAAUACCUUAGAAUGUGAGGCAUCACCCCACUCGACAUAGGUGGGCAUAGAUGGGAUCUUUUGCACGUCCACCACCAAGUCCUUGCUCCCGGUCAUAUGAUUUGUUGCUCCACUAUCGAGCAACCAUGAUCCCCCACCGGAAGCAAACACCUAUAAGAGAUCAAUUCUUGGUUUUAGGUACCCAUUUAGUAAUGGGUCCUUUGAUGUUAGUAACAAGGGUCUUAGUCACCCAAAUAGACCAUUCAAUGUACUCAUAAGAAGAACCAACAAAUUUAGCAUAAACAUGCCCAUCACUAGCACGGCACAACACAUAAGAGGGGUUAAAGUCGCCGGCUUUGUUGGGAGAGAUGGCUUUGCCCUUUUUGGCAUCACCACUCUUCGCAUUGUUCUUCUUCUCCUUAGGAUCACCCUCUCCCUCCUUCACAAAAGUUUGCUUAAGCGGGGGAGGUUGUUUGGUCUUGUUAUUCUUCUUCUCGUUCUUCUUCUUGUUCUUGGACUUGGGUGAGAACCCAACUCCCUCCUUGCCCACAACUUCCUUUUGAUUGCUCAAAAGGUCAUUUAGGUUCUUCUCACCUUGUAUGCAUGACACAAGACCUUUCUCGAGUUGUUCCUUCAACUUGGCAUUCUCCUCCACAAGAUGCACAUGCUCACAACACGGGUUAGUAGCAUUUGCAUUAUCAAUUAAGACCAUGUGAGGAAAUGUGGCCUUUUCCUUGGUUAGCUUAACUUGGAGUUGAGCAUGAGACUCCUUGAGGUUUGCAUGAGCACCUUUCAAGACCUUAUGGGCCUUGUCAAGUACAUCAAACUCCUCCUUGAGUCUAGCAUGAUCAACCCCAAGUUUAGCCUUCUCGGAAGUUAGCACACAAGACACAACAAGAGCAUGAUCAAGAUCUUUCUUUAAUUUGGCAUGGCCAUCGUUGUGUGACUCCUCAAGAGCCAAACGAUGCCCAUGCUCUUCCUCAAGAGCAUUAGAGAGAUCCGAUAUCUCAUCGGCAUAGUCACGACUAUGACCUUCCAUCUUAGAGAUGCUCAUUGUCGGCGGUCUUGUCCAAGAUGCUCAUUGCAAUGAACUCAUCCAACACUUCGCUUGAGGUCAUGGAGUGGAAGUCCGGUCUUUGACGAAUGACGGAGGACAUGGCCUUGUUGUAGGGCAUCAUGGCCUUGAGGAACUUGCGCUUGAUCCAAUUGUCAUCCAUGUCCUUGCUCCCAUGAUCUCGGAGUGAGACCGCGAGUUUGGUCACUCUUCGGAAGAGCUCACGAGGUUCUUCAUCUUCUUUCAUUGCAAACUCAUCGGCUUCAUCUUGCACCACUUCAUAGUUGGAGCAUUGAAUGCUAGCACUUCCUCGAUAAAGAGACACAACACAUUGCCAUGCGUCUUUAGCCACGGCAUGAGGUCGAAGAUGAGGGAGAUCUUCGGGAAGGAUUGCAUCUUGGAUGAUGAAGAGAGCACUCUCAUUGAAUUGAUUAUCCACGGCUUCUCGAGGGGUGAAGUUGCUUGGGUCAUGUGGAUAGAAACCUUCUUCUAUGAUUCUCCAAAGAUUAGUAUUCACAUGUUUUAAAUGACGCUUGAAACGAUAAACCCAAGAAUCAAAAUCCUCAUUUUUCACAAUCUUAGGAGGAGGACCGGCAUGAUUUAAAUGAGUAGAGGGAAUCGGUCCACCAUAAGUAGGAGGUUCCACAUGGGCAUAGAUGCCGGUGCCAUUUCUACCACUAGUAGAAGGACCCUUUUCACUAUUAGCUUCCCCCUUGUCGGAGUUAGCAUCCGUCACCUUGUUAGUGGGAUCACCCACUUUCAUCGGCGAGGUGGAUAGUUUAAGUCCUUCUAGGAAUUUAGUAAACAUGCUUUCAAUCUCGGUCGUCAUGGAGGUUUUCAAUGUGUCUAAAGCCACAUUGAAUUCCUCAUGGGAGACCGAGGUUCCCCCAUCGGCCGUAGACGAGAUAGGAUUCACACCGGAGUGCUCCUCCGCACCGUCGUUGGUGUCAACCAUACUCUUCGGACGUCAAAGUCCUUAAUAAAGAGACGAGGCUCUGAUACCAAUUGAAAGGAUCGAUAUGGUUGACUAGAGGGGGGGGGGUGAAUAGGCAACUAACAAUUUUUAAGCUUUUCUUUAACAAAUUAAACCUUGCGACAAAACAGGUUGUCUAGAUAUGCAACUAAGUGGACAACCUAUAUGAUGCAAAGACAACUAGCACACAAGCAAGCAAUAGAUACAACACAAGUAAGCUUGCAAAAGUAAAGGCACGAAAUAACCAAGAGUGGAGCCGGUGGAGACGAGGAUGUGUUACCGAAGUUCCUUCCUUUUAAGGGGAAGUACGUCUCCGUUAGAGCGGUGUGGAGGCACAAUGCUCCCAAGAAGCCACUAGGGCCACCGUAAUCUCCUCACGCCCUCACACAAUGCGAGAUGCCGUGAUUCCACUAUUGGUGCCCUUGAAGGCGGCGACCGAACCUUUACAAACAAGGUUGACGCAAUCUCCACAACACUUGGAGGCUCCCAACAACACCACGAAGCUUCACCACAAUGGAGUAUGGCUUCGAGGUGACCUCAACCAUCUAGGGUGCUCAAACACCCAAGAGUAACAAGAUCCGCUAGGGAUUAGUGGGGGGAAUCGAGUAUCUCUUGGUGGAAGUGUAGAUCGGGGCCUUGUCACCCAAUCCCGAGCAAAUCAACAAGUUUGAUUGGCUAGGGAGAGAGAUCGGCCAAAAAUGGAGCUUGGAGCAACAAUGGAGUUUAGGGUUAGAAGAGGUGAGUCUUCUUGGAGAAGAAGACCCCCUUUUAUAGUGGGGGACAAUUCCAACCGUUGCCCACCACUCAGCCCGCGGCCCACGGAACUACCGCUCCACAGGCGCGGUACUACCGCACUGGCGUGCGGUACUACCGCGGUGGACCGCGGUACUACCGCGAGCACGGCAGAGACCUGACCAGGCAAAAAGGAGCACCGACAGGGCGCGGUAGAUCCGUAGGAGCGGUACUACCGCGGCCCCAUGCGGUACUUCCGCAAGGCAGACACGGGCCAGGCCUGGUAGGCACAGAUGUAAAAAAUUACAUCCGUGACUACCUCCGCUAAGAAAAAUGUCGUGCAAAAAUCCAACACGAAAUUACCGCGAUCGAGGGUGCGGUACUACCGUGAAGGAUGCGGAUGUAAAAAAUUACAUCCGCCCCUACCUCUGCUCCUGCUCCGGAACCUGGCCUGGUGCCACGGUACUACCGCGCCACAGCACGAUACUACCGCGGGGAGCGCGGAUGUAAAAAAUUACAUCCGCGUCUACCACCACUUGAGAGCGGUGCUAGACCAGAGCUGGCGGUACUACCGCUCGGAACAGCGGUACUACCAUGGGAGCCUACGGUACUACCGUGCCGGAGCCCGGUACUACUGCUUGCUCCUGCUGUAGUACCGCUCACAAGAGCAGUACUACCGCUAGCCUGAGAAGAGCAAGACUGAGGCCUUCAUUUCGCAGAGACACGAUGAGACGGAGGAACACUCCGAGGAGCUCAAGGAAAGGCCGUGCAAAAGGGAAUGUGUACGUGAGAUUCCACCCAAACCUUUCCAAAGCGGACCCCCUCUUAAUAGUACGGCUUUCCUACGACUCAACUCUUCCGAACCAAACCGUAGAGAAAGGCCGUCUUCUAUAAUCUCCGAGGGGCAUCAAAUCGUCUUGUGUUUAGUCGUGAUAUAUCUGAAAAGCUCAAUACACACGAUUAGUCCGCAAAGGCAUUGUCAUCAAUCACCAAAACUACAUAGGGACAAGAAUGCCCUUACAGAGAGGCAAUGGAUGGCAGCAACGACGUCAUGUUCAUCAGAAGCCAACCGGCUGGGCCGAAAUGGAGAAACUGUGUCGUGUUCAUCGGGAGGCAACAUAAUGCGUCGUGUUUAUUGGGAGGCAAUGGAAUAUGUCGUGUUCAUUAGGAGCCAACCGGCUUAGAUGGAAUAGCCGAAACGAGGUCUGGCGUACCACAGAACGGAGGAAACGGGCCUUCUGUUCGACCACAUACGGUCGAAAUGGGUCCUGUUCAUCGGGAAGGGUCUAGCCUACCGCAAAACGGAGGAAACCGACUUGUAUUCGAGUGCCUACGGUCGAAACAGGGCCCUGUUGAUAGGGAGGGGUGUGGCGUACCGCAAAACGGAGGAAACGGAUUUGUGUUGGAGCGCUGACGGUCGAAACGAGGUCCUGUUCAUCCACCAUCUACUGCUGUGCCCCAGCCUCCACGAGCUACUGUUCAUCCACCAUCGACCUCCUCCAGCCUCCACCAGCUACUGUUCAUCCACCGGCUACUAUUUAUAGAGGCUCCAUAGGGUCCUGUUCAUCCACCCCAACCGGCUAGGGUGCGAUGGCCUCCUUGGGGUCCUGUUCAUCCCACGGCAACGGCCUACUACCACGGGGUCCUCUUCAUCAAACCCCCACCGGGAACCGUUCAUCCACAACCAACCAACCGGCCCUGGACGAAAAACCCAUUUUCAUGGACCUAUCAUCUCAUUUUCAUCCUGUGAAAUCUAUGAUCCUAUUCUCUAUAUAUGCAGCAUGGUCUAUUAUGUAGCAAUAGCACGGUCUAUUAUGCUCUGUUACCGGCAGUAAUGUCAGUUGUUCUCUAGUAUUUGUCAUUGUAGUGCUCUCCUUCCCGUUGUUCCAUAUUUUGCAGCUGCAUCUUUGAUGUGUAUAAGUUGUUGAUGUGUUGUCUUGGUAUAAGUAAACCUGACUACUUCUGUCCUUUGUCGUCAAAUGAAGUCAUGAUAUGUUGUUAGCAACCUAGGACAGGAGGUAUUUGUUCAAGUUUGCAGUUCCUAGAUCCAUUGCUGAUGAAUAUGGAGUCAUUAAUAUUUAUUCUAUUUUUCCAAGAAAUGCUUCACUUGUAAGUUAUAACACCAGUCAUGGACAACACACUUAACAAUUUUCGCUUGUCCCCUAUUACAUUUGACAGGGUCGAUUCGAAAUCCUGUGCCUCUCUGGAUCAUACCUGGUGAUAGAUGACGGCGUUUCACGCACACGGAAUGGAGGUCUAUGCAUAGAGCUGUGUGGCGCUGAUCACAGGGUGAUUGGAGGAAGCGUUGGUGGAGUCUUGACAGCAGCCGGGACAGUUCAGGAGAUCACUCGCUUCUUCUUUUUUUUCACUGAAACAUCAGCAUUUCAUUAAUUCAUCCUUGGUCUGUUGUGUUCCAGAAAUGAAUGAUGAGGUGAUUGUGCGUCAUGGUGCAGGUGAUUGUGGGGAGCUUCAUGUACGCGGGGUCGAAGAAGAGCACGAAGGGCAAGGCCGGGCAGGAGUCUGCUGUGGCAGAGGAAGAACAGACCGGCGAUGCCAACGGGGGCAGGGGCAGAGGUGGAGACGGAGUUGGAGUCAAGGCGGAGGAAGAGGGGCCUUCGCCGCUGAUGCCGAUGCCCCGCGGAGAGGAGGAGCUGCCGUCGGACGCGAUGAUGAGCGGGUGGACGGGUAUGAUGCGGUAGAUGGAGUCGCGGUCCUGCGGCGGCAUCGACAUCAACUCGAUCCGGGAGUGAAGGAUGUAGACUGUUUAAUUAGUUUGGUACGGCGGAAGUUGAGCCUAGGCUAGCUUAGCUAGUGGAUGAUGGAUGGAUGAUUCUAGGGUUUGGUUGGGCUGGUUGUGUUCCUCUCCUGCGUGGGUUUAAAAAGAAGUCUAGUUAGUAUAAUGAAUGUUGUCGUCGAGUAUGAUCAGUUUAACCGAUGAUGUUGGCGCCGGUCGGUCGGGCGAAUCUAUGAUGGAAAUAGUGGAUUCGGUUGUUGGUUGAUGGUGUGGUCUGGUAUGGUAUGGUAUGGUAUGAUGUAGUUAUAGGCAGCAGCAAUGAGCAACUUGUUUGUAGCUAGUCUCUUUCUUGGUUGCAGACAGACAGACAGACUUUGACAGUUUUAUUUUCCUUUCUCUUCUUGUGUUUGCAUCCCCUUUGCUUCUUUCUUUUCCUUCUUACUAGCAAAUAUGCUUGUGCGUUGCAAUGGGAAAACUAGCAAACAUGCUUGUGCGCAGGGGCCCUCCCCUGUGUGCGCCCGACCAUGGACAUAACCCCCCCUACUGCCGCGCCGUCGUUCUCCUGCUCUCAGUCCACCACGCAUCGCCCUGCCGCCGCAACCUCGCGCCGGCCUACGCCCGUCGCCGGCGCCCCCCCACACCGUUCGCCUGGGCCAGUGCCCAAUCUGGUUGGGGCUUCACCCGCAGCGCCCGAACCCACUUUGGCCAUGGGCCAAUGGCACAAGGGGCCCACGCCCCUGGAACAAUUUUAAAAAAAGAAGUUAAUAAAAUAAAUAAAUAAGUAAUUAUUAACUAAAUAAUUAGUUGAUUAAUUAAGUUAAUUAGUUCUGUUUAGCUAAGCUAAUUAAAAUUAGUUAACCUAAUCAAUGAAAUUAAGCUAAUUAACAUGUUUAAUCUAAGUCAAUGACAUAUGGGACCCACGCGUCAGCUUGACCCAGUCAGCACCUCUGUUGACUGGUGAUGUCAUGCUGACGUCAUGCUGAUGCAGUAAUACCAUUUUCGAAUUAAAUUAAUAAUAAUAAAUUAUAAAUUGAAUAAAGUCUCUGAAAAUUAAUAAUAAAUAAACCGUAGUUCGGAUGGAAAAACUUUGUACAUGAAAGUUGCUCAGAACGACGAGACGAACCCGGAAGCGCAGCCCAUUCGUCCACCACGCAUCCCCAACCUAUCGAACUCGCAACUUUCCUCCUCCGGCUCCUCUGCCCGAAAACACGAAACACCGGGGAUACUUUCGCGGAUGUUCCCCCCCCCCUUCACCGACAUCACCUCAUACUGCGUUAGGGCACGCCUAGCAUCACGCUUUUCUUUGUCAUGCAUCGUCAUGCAUAUGUUUGCAUUGUAUUCAUUGUUUCUUCCCCUUCUGCUUCCGCUAGACACCGAGACCGACGCUGCUGCUGCCCAGUUCGACUACGGAGUUGACGACCCCUCUCUCUUGGCAGAGCAACCAGGCAAGCCCCCCCUUUGAUCACCAGAUAUCGCCUAUUCUUCUCUAUACUGCUUGCAUUAGAGUAGUGUACCAUGUUACUGCUUUCCGUUAAUCCUAUUCUGCUGCAUAGCUUGUCCUUGCUACUACUGUUGUUACCUUUACCUGCAAUCCUACAUGCCUAGUAUAGGAUGCUAGUUUUCCAUUAGUGGCCCUACAUUCUUGUCCGUCUGCUGUGCUAUACUAUCGGGCCGUGAUCACUUGGGAGGUGAUCACGGGUAUAUACUAUAUACUUUAUACAUGAUACAUGUGGUGACUAAAGUCGGGUCGGCUUGUGGAGCACCCGCGAGUGAUUCACGGAUUGGGGGCUGAAAGGACCUUUGUCCCAACGGCCCUCUGUGUGGACCUUUGUGGCGGAGCGUCAGGGCAGGUUGAGACUACCUGGGUGAGAGGUGGGCCUGGCCCUGUUCGACGUUCACGGAUACUUAACACGCUUAACGAGAUCUUGGUAUUUGAUCUGAGUUGGGUCGUUGACCUUAUACGCACUAACCGCCACGUGGGACAAGUUAUGGGCAACCGACAUCGUGGUAUCAGCGAAGCAUUUCGUGACGUCAGCGACGGAGCGGCGCGCGCCGGAUUGGACUGGAACGCCUGCUAGUCUAGGUCUUCUUUCGGCUGCCCUCGCAACGUGCAGGUGUGCUAAGGGCGAUGGGCCCAGACCCCUGUGCGCUUAGGUUUAGACCGGCGUGCUGACCUCUCUCUUAUGCCUAGGUGGGGCUGCAACGUGUUGAUCUUCCGCGGCCGGGCAUGACCCAGGAAAGUGUGUCCGGCCAAAUGGGAUCGAGUGUGUCGGGUAAUGUGGUGCACCCCUGCUGGGAAGUUAAUCUAUUCGAAUAGCCGUGAUCUUCGGUAACAGGACGACUUGGAGUUGUACCUUGACCUUAUGACAACCAGAACCGGAUACUUAAUAAAACACACCCUUCCAAGUGCCAGAUACAACCCGGUGGUCGGUCUCUAAUAGGGCAUUGAGGAGGGGAUCGCCGGGUAGGAUUAUGCUAUGCGAUGCUACUUGGAGGACUUCAGUCUACUCUCUUCUACAUGUUGCAAGACGGAGGCUGCCAGAAGCGUAGUCUUCGACAGGAUUAGCUAUCCCCCUCUUAUUCUGGCAUUCUGCAGUUCAGUCCACUGAUAUGGCCCUUUACACAUAUAUCCAUGCAUAUGUAGUGUAGCUCCUUGCUUGCGAGUACUUUGGAUGAGUACUCACGGUUGCCUUGUUCCCCCUUUUCCCCCUAUCUCUAUCCGAUUGCUGCGACCAGACGAUGGAUCCCAGGAGCCAGACGCCACCUUCGACGACGACUCCUACUACGCUGGAGGUGCCUACUACUACGUGCAGCCCGCUGACGACGACCAGUAGUAGUUUAGGAGGAUCCGAGGUAGGAGGCCUGCGCCUCUUUCGAUCUGUAUCCCAGUUUGUGCUAGCCAUCUUAUGGCAACUUGUUUAACUUAUGUAUGUACUCAGAUAUUAUUUCUUCCGCUGACUUGUCUAUGAUCGAGCACUUGUAUUCGAGCCCUCGAGGCCCCUGGCUUGUAUUAUGAUGCUUGUAUGACUUAUUUAUGUUUUAGAGUUGUGUUGUGAUAUCUUCCCGUGAGUCCUUGAUCUUGAUCGUACACGUUUGCGUGCAUGAUUAGUAUACGAUUGAAUCGGGGGCGUCACACAAGGGUACCUGUCGAGAGCGGCGAGUUGUCGGGGGAGGUUUUUGGGUGCGGGCAGCGGCCUGGGCAAGCCCAACCGGCCGGAACUGGGCGACAACGGUGAAGGCAGGGUGCCCGGGUGUCUUAGUUUUGGACGGGAGAGGAGGGUAAUUGUCAAUGUGCCACCGAAUGACAGGCUAGGGGGAGGACAAGGACGGGCGUCGCGAGCGUCCACGUCAUGUCCGUGCUGAUGCAAACCCGACUCAAAUCUUGUCCUGAAAUGAGUCGCGAGCAGACAAAAAGCAGACACUCGCCCGUUUGCGUCGACACAUUGGGCCACAGUUUGUGUUCAUUUCGACCCAAACCGACGUGCACAGACAGAACGCGUCGGCGCAUUGGAGUUGGUGUUAGACACCACCCUCAUUGCAAGAAAUGUGCACACAGUGGCAAAGAAAAGGUGCUAGACCAGGGGCACCCCACGCUCAUAGGGGUGGGGAACGACCCAACAUGGUUGGACGGUGGAGUGGCAGGCAGAAGGGGGCGUCAAGAGUACUCCAGCAUCCUUUAUAAGAGUAAUUCGGUGAUGGUCGAUGUAUCAACAUGUAAUAUCCACAAAUUUCCAGCGGCUCGAAGCAGCCGCAAAAACAAUAUAUGUGUACAAAUUAAAUAUGUACCCCGUGAGCUAGCAGAAAGUACCCAACGAAUCUUGCAUCGUUCAUAGGGGUGAAGGUAUAUGCGUAUGUACUAUGUUCUGCUCGGUGACUCAUACGUCUCAAACUUACCUAUAAUUUUUGAUUGAUUCAUGCUAUUAUAAUACCAUCCAUAGCAAUUUAUAUAUUGUUUUUCUGAACUAAACUAUAAAUUCAAUGCCUAGAGCCAGUUACUGUUUUCUGCAUGUUUUUGAUUUCACAGAAAAUCAUUCGGCAUGCGUUAAGCCUGUCGAUUCACAAAACAAUAAAUAGAAGUUAAUCCUUCGCCAUGUGGGCCAACUUAUAAGGCGAGCCCACAUCCUGGGAAGGUGCUAAAGUUGUUCCAACCGAAGAUACCAAUGUUGUCCUCAUCAAAUUGGAAAAUAUGAAUUUUCUAGUUUGACCCAUUUGAACUCGUAAAAAAAUUGGUUAGAUUUCAUCUUGUUUUGUAUUGUUUGGCUUCGUUUCUUUCUGAGGCCCGUAAGCUACAUAUCUACCCAUCCAAACGUUGCUCAAUCGGCCCAAAAUAAAUUCCCCAAAAGCCCAAUCAACCCUUCAACAAAACACCCCACCUUUCCUCCUUUCUUCCGCCGCCGCUAGAGUUUCCUCUUCUAGUUAGGGUUUCCUCGAUCCCCAAUUUCCCCACCCCAACCCUAGCUCCGAUCCACCCGAUGGCGGCCGCAGAGGGCAAGAAGAACAUCAUCAAGCUCAAGAGUUCAGACGGUAAGGAGUUUGAGGUGGAGCAGGCGGUGGCCAUGGAGUCGCAAAUGAUCCGGCACAUGAUCGAGGACGACUAUACUGACAACGGCUUGUUGCUCCACAAUGUCAACUCAAAGAUCCUCUCCAAGGUCAUUGAGUACUACAACAAACACGUCCAAGCAAAGGGCCGCCGACACAUCUGAUUUUGGAGGAGGAGCUAGGCCGUUAGGUGCUACAUCGGCUGUGCCUGCGGCGCCCACAGAGGACCUCAAAAACUGGGACGCCAAUUUCGUCAAGGUCGACAUGGCCACCAUAUUCGACCUCGCACUAGUGUGAUUACUUUCCAUCCAUUGAUUUGUUCCUUGACAUUCUCUAGAUCUAUUUUUUUACUAUCCCCCAUUGAUGGAAUCAAGAUUGUUUUUGUUUAGUUUGGCUUGUUACUUGUGUGAGAUUGAGAUUUGGAUAGAUUGGAAUAUGUCCUCGUACCUUCAUCAAGGUAGAUUUGACUCGAUUGGAUUAGGUUAGGUUACACAAUGGAUUAGGUUUAGGUCACAAAGAGUUGUUAUUGGCGAUGUAGAAAGCAGCCGACCAUACAUACUAACCCUAAUAGCUAGGUUCGGGCAUUAUCUGGGGAGCUAUAUUAAUUUACAGUUCCAUGUUCAUCUGGUCUAAUAUGCUUCACUAUAUAUGAAUAACCUAGAAACAUUUUAAAUUAUUAGAUUCACUAUCAUUUUGUUUGUAAACUACAUAUAUGGGAUGAUGAUUGAGUGGUUUCUCUUUCAAUAACUUGCGGAAACAUCAGACCACACAGAGCAAUAUAUGGUCUGAUGUUUCUAUAUUUGUCACUGUUGUUUCUAGAUUUGAACCAUGCAUGAAUGUCCAUAUCUAGUGUGAAAUUAUGAUCUUGUAUGCUAGACUUUAGUAGAUCUGCUCUGAAUUUGUUUAGUUAUGUUAGUUUAUCAUAGAUAGGGUGGUAUGUCGCAUGUGUCAUCCUUAGUUAUAAUACAUAAAUCCAAUAUCAUACAUUACUACUUUGAUAUUUGUAAUUAUGCAUUGUAGAUCACACACUUCUUUCUAAUUUUGCUAUCUAUGUCUUUAUUAUCUUAUAGGUUUCACUACUGGUCCAUAUGUCAACAAUGAAUGCCUUUUUCUUCUAUCUAGCAUCGAGUUACUAUUUAUUUUGCUGUAUACAUAGUGAUAGCUAAAUCACAUGAUCAUGCUAAUGUUUCUAACUUUGUAUCAAAUAUUUAUGAUCUCAACUAAUCUUUUAGAUACCACUAUUGAUCCAUGUCAUCUACGAAUGCCUUCUUCUAUCUAGCAUUGGUUGAGUAUUGAUUGUGGUUCUAUUAACAUUACAUCCUUGUAGCUAGAUCACGAGAUGAUACAUUGUGCCUGUCCAUGUUAGAAGUGAUGAUGCUUUCCAUCGUUUGAAGUGAAACCACACAUGACUUCCCAUGGCCACUAUAAAAUCCUGAUCUUGUUUGCAAGAGUUUAGCACUAUUUACUUUUAGUUUCUUUUCUUAUAGUUAUCUUAUUUUAUCAUAGCUAGAUAAGAUUUGUAUCUCACAUGUGGCAUCUUCACUUGCAAUACAUAUUCCAGUUUCAUAUAUUACUGACCCCUAAACACAUGUUUUGUGUUGUGGUUUGAUUUUACUAUGAUAGAUAACUAUGUUUCUAACUUUAUUGUUAUCGCUGCCUUUAUCAUCUGAGCAAAUCUUGUAAAUGCCACUAUAUUGAUCCAUAUUGGCAAUGAAUGUGUUCAUCUGUGUAUCAUUGCUUGACUGAUGAUUGUGGUGUACUAGCCAUACAUGUUGAUAUCCAAAUUAUUGGAUGAUGAAUGCAAUUGCCAAUGCAUUUUGAGAAGUGGUGCUUGUCAUCUGAACCCAUGUAGCUUAUGCACUUACAAAAUUAUCAUUUAUCAUGAGGAAUGUAUGUAGCUGUGUCUGAUCUCACUCUAUUUUGUGAUAGUUAUGUUAACUUUUCUUGACUAUCGAUCCAUUUAUGUUAACCCAUGUUAUGGUCUUUGAAUGAAUAUCUUUUGAUUAUUGCACACCUUGUUUUGUGUUUUAGUUUGUCGCAAAAACCUCUAUGUAGGUGGUAUAUGUAAUUAUCCAUGUUUUUGUAAACCAAUGCUUCCCUCUGACACACCAUUAUUCCUUUUGCUCUUUUGCCCCCUCUCAGGCUGCGAACCACGUCAACAUCAGGGGGCUCCUAGACCUGACUUGCCAGACCGUCGCCGACAUGAUCACGGGAAAGACGCCAGAGGAGAUCCGCAAGAUCUUCAACAUCAAUGAGAAAUUAAGACCCGAGGAGGAGGAGAAGAUCCGCAGGGAAAACCACUAGGCCUUUGAGUAGAGGAACAUCUAGGCCGCGCUGAAGUAAUGAACACUUAGUAUUACCCAUGUCUACAUUUCAGUGUGCUUGUUUAUGUCAUAAUGGUUGUAAUGAACCAAGAGUCUAUAAGGUGGUGUUGGUGAACUUAUUCAGUGGUUAUGUUUGCAAAAAAAAUAUGGUGGUCAUUAAUUAUCAUUUGUCAAAUGAAUCGUUAUUGUCAAGUUGAUGUUUUGCUUGCUUAUCA